AGAUGCGAUCAUACCAGCACUAAAGCACCGGAUCCCAUCAGAACUCCGAAGUUAAGCUUGCUAGGGCGAGAGUAGUACUACGAUGGGUGACCUCUUGGGAAGUCCUCGUGUUGCAUUCC
rnacentral:rRNA from 1 species